AACGAACGCUGGCGGCAUGCCUAACACAUGCAAGUCGAACGAAGGCUUCGGCCUUAGUGGCGCACGGGUGCGUAACGCGUGGGAAUCUGCCCUUUGCUUCGGAAUAACAGUUAGAAAUGACUGCUAAUACCGGAUGAUGUCGCACGACCAAAGAUUUAUCGGCAAAGGAUGAGCCCGCGUAGGAUUCGCUAGUUGGUGGGGUAAAGGCCUACCAAGGCGACGAUCCUUAGCUGGUCUGAGAGGAUGAUCAGCCACACUGGGACUGAGACACGGCCCAGACUCGUACGGGAGGGAGCAGUGGGGAAUAUUGGACAAUGGGCGAAAGCCUGAUCCAGCAAUGCCGGGUGAGUGAUGAAGGCCGUAGGGUUGUAAAGCUCUUUUACCCGGGAUGAGAAUGACAGUACCGGGAGAAUAAGCUCCGGCUAACUACGUG
rnacentral:rRNA from 1 species